GACGAACUGUGCAAACGUUAUUCGGAAUCACUGGGCUUAAAGGGUGCGUAGGCGGUCUUGCAAGUCCGGGGUGAAAGGCCAUGGCUCAACCAUGGAGGUGCCUUGGAAACUGUAGGACUUGAGUGCUGGAGAGGCAAGGGGAAUUCCACGUGUAGCGGUGAAAUGCGUAGAUAUGUGGAGGAAUACCAGUGGCGAAGGCGCCUUGCUGGACAGUGACUGACGCUGAGGCACGAAAGCGUGGGGAGCAAACAGG
rnacentral:rRNA from 1 species